AAGACAACAGCCUGAACUCAGAGCUCAGCGGGAACAACCCGAGUUGCCCCAAGAGGACUUGGCAGCAAAUGAAAAUGAAGUAUAAAAAUAUAGUUCAAACAGCAAAUCGAAAAAAAGCAGAGGCCCGGAAGACUGGAGGGGGUCCACCACCUGCAGCCCUCACAGUGGCUGAGGAGAUGGCCCUCAGCCAACAGAGUAUGCGUCCUGUGGCUGAGGGCAUCCCUGGGGGGAGCUCCUCUGAUCCCCCCCAGGAUAGAAGUGCCUUUAUCAGAGUUACUGAUGGCGUCAUCAACCUACUGGAACCAGAUGCCCUCACCAACCUCCAUGCAAUUGAAGAUGAUGGAGAAACAUUGUCUGCGGCAUUUGAAAGGGAAGAGGAAAGGCCUAUUGAGGAUGAAAUCGAAUUCAAUGAGAGGCCAUCCACUUCUAGCUCUACUUCACAGCUUACCUCUCUUCCAGUCAAAGAGCUCUAUAAAAUCUAUCUGGGAAAACAAAUAAACAAAGCAGACUUAGAAAUGGACCACAUAAGGCAAAAGAUGCAAAAGGAUGCUUUGGAGAUCCAAAUUUUGGAACACAAGUUAAAGGUGGGUGAUGUACAAACUGGGAUGCUGUUUCCUGCUCCAAAAACAUACCCAAUAUGAAUGACUUUUUUUUGUGCUUUCAGGAAAUAAAGAAAUCCUCAUAAAAAGUAGAAUGUCUUUAUUAGAACACGGGCUGUGGUGGGACAAGUUAUUUUGUUGAACAGUGUCACCCCCUACCAGAGGCUGGGACUGUCACACGAGUUUACUAUCAUACAAACUUGACCUUGGGUGUCUUGAAAGGCGCCUCUAAAUUAAAUUUAUUAUUAUACAGGAAGGCGAAAGAAUGCCAAAGAAAACAUUUCGGAAAUAAUAAAAUACAUUUAACUAGGCCUACAUAGAAAACUCAAACAAAAUGAUUUUGGCAGAGUCUAUCUCUAACCACCCUUCCGUCCUGUGGAUCCAUGGCAUGGUUUGGGUUUAUGGGCUGCUCAUCUGCAACUGCAGGUGGGCAAUUUUCCCCUCUCCAAAUCGCGAUGUUGUGAAGAACCAC
ensembl:lncRNA